GCAUACAGCCAUACCACCCUGUCUGCGCUUGAUCUCGUCUGAUCUCGGAAGCUAAGCAGGGUUGGACCUGGUUAGUACUUGGAUUGGAGACCGCCUGUCAAUACCAGGUGCUGUAAGUU
rnacentral:rRNA from 1 species